CACGUAGGGCGCAAGCGUUGUCCGGAAUUAUUGGGCGUAAAGAGCUCGUAGGCGGUCUGUUGCGUCCGCUGUGAAAACUCGGGGCUUAACCCCGAGCCUGCAGUGGAUACGGGCAGACUAGAGGUAGGUAGGGGAGAAUGGAAUUCCCGGUGUAGCGGUGAAAUGCGCAGAUAUCGGGAGGAACACCAAUGGCGAAGGCAGAUCUCUGGGCCGUAACUGACGCUGAGGAGCGAAAGCAUGGGGGAGCGAACAGG
rnacentral:rRNA from 1 species